rnacentral:rRNA from 1 species
UACGGAGGGUGCAAGCGUUAUCCGGAUUUAUUGGGUUUAAAGGGUGCGUAGGCGGCCGUAUAAGUCAGAGGUGAAAUUUGUCGGCUUAACCGACAGACUGCCUUUGAAACUGUACGGCUUGAAUUUGGUAGAGGCAGGCGGAAUGAGUAGUGUAGCGGUGAAAUGCUUAGAUAUUACUCAGAACACCAAUUGCGAAGGCAGCUUGCUAUACCACUAUUGACGCUGAGGCACGAAAGCGCGGGUAGCGAACAGG